AUCCCUCAGCCUUACUCUGGGGGCUUUUGCUGUUAAGCACCCUGGCAUUACCUGAGGGUACAGGAAAAACACUCAUCUCUCCCCAGGGAGCCUUUUUUCUCUUGGGGCCUACAAACGGCUGACAGC